rfam:Desulfobacteraceae bacterium 4572_123 ex4572_123_scaffold_10117, whole genome shotgun sequence.
AAGUGAUUCCAAACUUCCCGAUGCGCAGGCUGCUUAUCAGUUUACCAUGAAUGCGCUUACCCUCUCUUUAGCCGGAGCCAAUAUGCUUUUCGGUGCCG